UACAUUUUGGGGUGCCCAGAGGAGCUGAGCCUUUGGUGCAGGAAUGGGGUGGGGUGGGCAGCCCCAUCUUGGAGGUAAAGGAAGAAUUGGGUCCUCCACCACAGAGUGUGGGAUGGAAGUGCUGCUCCCACCCAGAGGACAAGGAGUGGAGUGGUGGAUGGGGAGUGGGGCCACCAUGGCUUGGCAGGAACAAGGGAUGCAUCCGUGGCACAUGGCUCCGUCACUCCAUCAGCAGAGCAUUGGGUGCCUUGAGAGGGAUGCACGAAGCCUUCGCCACCCCCCAGUGGGGAAAACUUGUGGGUUCCUCACUGCCGUUCCUCUCCUUCCAUCUCCUUGGAGGAGGACGUUGGCCAUGAGUCCCAACAGGAGGACAUUGGCCGUGGGUCCCAGUGGGAGGAUAUUGGUCAUGGUCCCAAUGGGAGAAGGAUGUUGGCUGUGGGUCCCAAUGGGAGGAGGCCGUUGGUCAUGGGUUCCAACAGGAGGAGGAUGUUGGUCAUGGUCCCAACAAGAGGACACUGGUCGUGGUCCCAGUGGAAGGUGGACACUGGCCAUGGGUCCCAAUGGGAGGAGGAUGUUGGUCAUGGUCGCAAUGGGAGAAGGAUGUUGGCCGUGGGUCCCAACGGGAGGAUAUUGGUCAUGGUCCCAGUGGGAGGACGACGCUGACCGUGCUCCCAACAGGAGCCCCGAGCUUCUGCCAUGGGACACGCAUUGUCACCAGAGGUCACACUGCCGACACGAUGCCGUUCACUUCACUGCACACACAGAGCAUGCACAGCACGUGGGCUUCUCCAAAGGUCUUCACCAUCCACUCUCGAUAGGCACCCAGUGGAGCCGUGCAGUGUCACCGCAUCCCCGGCGUCCCCUCCCAAAGCACGAGGGCUGCAUUGGCCCCAUGGCCACCGCGUGCCACCGGAGCACCGGGACGGGGACAUGGGGCACUGAACUCUCAAUAGACCACGAAAGCCAUAUUAGUGCGGAGCUCUGAGCGCCGUGGGGCGGCCGUGGGGCGGAGGACGGGCUGUGUUGUUGUGCUGUGUUCUUGUAUGUACAUAAAGGGAGACAACGAACGUCGGUGUUACUUUAUAACCUUUCUAAUAUCCUGUGCUAAUCUCGGAAAAAUAAUCCUAUAAAAUAUAUCUGGAUUACACACCU
rnacentral:lncRNA from 7 species